GGCCUGCCCUGGCCGAGCGCAUGGGGAGCAGAGGAAGAGGGGCGCCAAUCUGCUUUUUCCAGGACAGUCCGCUGCUGCAAGCCGGUCCUCAGGAACUUACCUCUUCUGCGUAUGUAUCCUCCAAAAAAUGAGUGUACGGACCAGUCUCCAUCACCACAGGCCUCCUGGGAAGAGCAGCCUACUGGUUCCUUGUUUGUGUAUCCUGCAUUUGGUGUAAACAGCUAGAAAGCAAGGAUGUAAAACAUCUGUAGCGAACUUCUGCCCUCCGGGGUUCUCCCACUGUGCUGUAAGCCUGUAUUUAAGGCCUCCUCCCUCCUUCAAUAAACGGCAUUCUACUGAGACCAAUGACCCGCUGUCUUGUCUCUGAUUUUAAUCCUCAGCCCCUCGCUCAGACAUGGUGAAUGGGUAGUAUCGUGGGUGCUACACCUCCGUGGCCUCGUCCUGUCUCCCAAAGCUGCCCUGUCUUCAUAGCCCAUGGAGAACCAACAGAGCCUCAGACCAUAAACCCCAAGCCCCACUGUGCAUGUGUUGCUGCUCAUUUCGGAAGAGAAAAUCCCUCCCUUCCUUCAGAACCUCCCAAAAGCCGUUGUUUCCUUCGGGGUCUUAGCUGCUGCUUCUGAAACUGACCUCUCCACCGCAGCUCAGACACAGAAAGUAAACCUGGCGGGGUGCUGAGUGGGGAGGGUCCUGACGUCCAUGGUUACAUCCAGGCCUGAAGUGGAG